rnacentral:rRNA from 1 species
AUUGAACGCUGGCGGCAGGCCUAACACAUGCAAGUCGAGCGGCAGCACGGGAAGCUCGCUUCCUGGUGGCGAGCGGCGGACGGGUGAGUAAUGCAUAGAAAUCUGCCCGGUAGUGGGGGAUAACCUGGGGAAACCCAGGCUAAUACCGCAUACGUCCUACGGGAGAAAGCAGGGGAUCUUCGGACCUUGCGCUAUCGGAUGAGUCUAUGUCGGAUUAGCUUGUUGGUGAGGUAAUGGCUCACCAAGGCGACGAUCCGUAGCUGGUCUGAGAGGAUGAUCAGCCACAUCGGGACUGAGACACGGCCCGA